UAAAAGACAGAGCUUAGACGAGACCAACUCCAGAUUCUCUUCUUCCAGUUCUUUACUCUCUUCUUCCAGUCUCUAUUUCUUCUUCCCUUUCUUCUUUACACUCUUCUUCUAGUCUCUAUUUCUUCUUUACUCUCUACAAUGUCCAUGGAAGAAGAAUUCAAAGAUUUUCAAGGAACAGAAGAAAAUGAAGUCCUCGAGCGCACCCGGUUCUUUUUUCCUUUCUUGUAUUGUUCUUAUGUUUUCUUGUGGAGUUAACCCAUUUUUUUUCCCUUUCUUGUCUUCUUUUUUGUUUUUCUGGUCUUGUUUCUUGAAAUCUUGGAAAAUCCACCAACGCGGUGCUUUUCCCUGCAACCGCACUCAAGGCCAAGAUUUAAAGGAAUAGAAGAAAAUCAGGCGUUGAAAUCUGUGGAAGGGGUUGGGGUCGAGUUUCAAGAAAAUGAUCCGUUGCAUGCGCAACCCUUGCGGUUUUCAGCACUUCGUUUCUUUAAGUUGGAGUUUAGAGAGGUAUUGUAUUUUUAUCCAAUUUCUUGAAUUAGGUUUGAUACUUGAUAUAGUAUAGGAAAUAAGUGAAUCUUGGAGCACUACGAAUUGAUUACUGAACAUGCGAACUCUUCCUGUCACAUGGUAUCUUGGUCUGAUGAAUGUCCCGGUUCUUUUUUUUUUUUUUUUGGUUCUUUUCUUGUAUGAACCGAUUCUUUUUUCCCUUUCUUGUUUUUUUUUUCUUUCUGUUUUGCUUCUUGAGGACACGUUGAAAGUCCACUAGUGCAGUUCUUUUGCCUACCAGACUGAUGUGGUGCUCAUUUUGGCUGGAUCUUCAAGCAUUCUGGAGCAUCUCUUAUCUUGGAGUUAUGCAUUAAGAUUCCACCAUUGUUAGGCUUCGUGUUGCUUAUAUUCCCUGAUUCUUGGCAUUCAGAGAGAUAUUAUAUUUGGACCCAAUCUAUUGUUUUCAAUUUUGUUUUCUAGGGUUAGAUUCUUGAUAUAGUAGACUAGCAAAUAAGUGAAUUUUG